AUUGAACGCUGGCGGCAUGCCUUACACAUGCAAGUCGAACGGUAACGCGGGGCAACCUGGCGACGAGUGGCGAACGGGUGAGUAAUGCAUCGGAACGUGCCCAGUAGUGGGGGAUAGCCCGGCGAAAGCCGGAUUAAUACCGCAUACGACCUACGGGUGAAAGCGGGGGACCGUAAGGCCUCGCGCUAUUGGAGCGGCCGAUGUCAGAUUAGGUAGUUGGUGGGGUAAAGGCCUACCAAGCCUACGAUCUGUAGCUGGUCUGAGAGGACGACCAGCCACACUGGGACUGAGACACGGCCCAGACUCCUACGGGAGGCAGCAGUGGGGAAUUUUGGACAAUGGGCGCAAGCCUGAUCCAGCCAUGCCGCGUGCGGGAAGAAGGCCUCGGUUGU
rnacentral:rRNA from 1 species